ensembl:lincRNA Gm12916 predicted gene 12916
GUGUGCACUGUGGCCGUGCCUGAUGUGCUGAGGGACUCGUUUAGGAAUGCUGUCAUUUGGCUUGGGGAAGGGCCAGGCCUCUCUCUGCCCAUAGCAUUGAGGACAGAGGCACAGGUCUCCGUCACUGGGCUGACAGCUUCCAUUCUUCCAAAUCUCCUCUUCCGAGCUAGUCUGCCAUGGAUGAAGUGGGCAUGCAUGUGUUUUAUGCUUUGUACUUCUGCCUCCGUCCAUCUACAAUCCUAGCACUGAAACCACACUCCUCUGAACCACUGUGUGCACCGGCGAGGCCUUCUCAUGGAUGGUCGCAGUCAUUCUCAUUUCUGCGCAUGCUUCCUCCAGGCCAGGCUCACAGGUGGGCCUGCCGGGUGAUUCUGGAUCCUGUGAAGUUGACAGCUUACAUUAACCAUCACAAGUAGCAUGCAAAAUCUGAUUUCUUAAUGGAAGAUACAGCACAAGAUCUGGGAGAAAUUUCAAUGUUGUGUAAAAGGAACACCGUAGAAGAACGAAGUCCUAUGAGGAGAAUUCUUUGUGAGAAAACCUGAGACUUGUGACCUCGGUUUCUUCAAAACAUGGACUUAUUCUUGGGAUGGUUUUGUGCUCCUCCCAGGUGUAGUGGAUGGAGUGGGUGGACUUCAGAUUACUCAUUAGUGCUUGCAGUUGUUGUUAAGUGUUUAGACAAUCCUUUCUAGUCCUCUAGAGAAAACCAUGGUUUUUACCACAUGGGGCUUGUUCUUGUGAUUUUAUACAGCACGAAACUCAUGAGAACUUUAUUCAUGUGAUUUUUCUUAACCCUCAGAGUAUAAAUUGUCCGAAGCCCUGAAUAGAGAUGAGCAUUGCAUGAGAUUGUAGCCUCCUUGUUUAUCGGCUCUAUUCUCCCACAUGUGAAGGUUAUCACGAUAAUCACAUCCACUCAGGCACCGAAAGACGAGUAUUACAUGCCUUCUGUCC